rnacentral:ribozyme from 1 species
GGAAUUUAAAUUCUUAAGCAACUCCGCAAAAGACAAAAACAACUAGCUCACACGAAUUCGCACGCAAAA